rfam:Astyanax mexicanus chromosome 14, whole genome shotgun sequence.
UGUACAUCAGUAUGUAGAAGUCGCUUUGGAUAAAAGCAUCUGCUAAAUGCUAUGUA